GACGAACGCUGGCGGCGUGCUUAACACAUGCAAGUCGAACGGAAAGGCCCUGCUUUUGUUGGGUGCUCGAGUGGCGAACGGGUGAGUAACACGUGAGUAACCUGCCCUUGACUUUGGGAUAACUUCAGGAAACUGGGGCUAAUACCGGAUAGGAGCUCCUGCUGCAUAUUGUGGGUUGGAAAGUUUCGGCGGUUGGGGAUGGACUCGCGGCUUAUCAGCUUGUUGGUGGGGUAGUGGCUUACCAAGGCUUUGACGGGUAGCCGGCCUGAGAGGGUGACCGGCGACAUUGGGACUGAGAUACGGCCCAGACGCGUAAGGGAGGCAGCAGGGGGGAAUAUGGCACAAUGGGCGGAAGCCAGAUGUAGCAACGCCGCGUGCGGGAUGACGGCCUUCGGGUUGUAAACCGAUUUCGCCUGUGACGAAGCGUGAGUGACGGUAAUGGGUAAAGAAGCACCGGCUAACUACGUG
rnacentral:rRNA from 1 species